rnacentral:rRNA from 1 species
GACGACGCUGGCGGCGUGCUUAACACAUGCAAGUCGAACGGUGAUCUUGAGAGCUUGCUCUUGGGUGAUCAGUGGCGAACGGGUGAGUAACACGUGAGUAACCUGCCCCUGACUCUGGAAUAACUUCGGGAAACCGAAGCUAAUACCGGAUAUGACACAGAGCCGCAUGGUUUCUGUGUGGAAAGUUUUCGGUUGGGGAUGGACUCGCGGCCUAUCAGCUUGUUGGUGAGGUAAUGGCUCACCAAGGCGACGACGGGUAGCCGGCCUGAGAGGGCGACCGGCCACACUGGGACUGAGACACGGCCCAGACUCCUACGGGAGGCAGCAGUGGGGAAUAUUGCACAAUGGGCGAAAGCCUGAUGCAGCGACGCCGCGUGAGGGAUGAAGGCCUUCGGGUUGUAAACCUCUUUCAGUAGGGAAGAAGCGCAAGUGACGGUACCUACAGAAGAAGCACCGGCUAACUACGUG